rnacentral:rRNA from 1 species
UACGUAGGGUGCGAGCGUUGUCCGGAAUUAUUGGGCGUAAAGAGCUCGUAGGCGGUUUGUUAAGUCUUGCGUGAAAUCUCGGGGCUCAACCCCGAGCGGUCGUGAGAAACUGGCAGGCUAGAGUGCGGGAGAGGAGAGUGGAAUUCCUGGUGUAGCGGUGAAAUGCGCAGAUAUCAGGAAGAACACCCGUGGCGAAGGCGGCUCUCUGGAACGCAACUGACGCUGAGACGCGAAAGCGUGGGGAGCAAACAGG